UGCAAGUCGAACGUGAAGGCAACUUCGGUUGCCUGAAAGUGGCGGACGGGUGAGUAAAACGUAGGUGACCUGCCUUCGAGUGGGGGAUAACCAUUAGAAAUGAUGGCUAAUACCGCAUGGGUUGGGGAAGUAGGGAUACUUCGCCAAUAAAGCUUUGGCGCUCGGAGAGGGGCCUGCGUCCGAUUAGCUAGUUGGUGGGGUAACGGCCUACCAAGGCUAUGAUCGGUAGCUGGUCUGAGAGGACGAUCAGCCACACGGGAACUGAGACACGGUCCCGACUCCUACGGGGGGCAGCAGUGAGGAAUAUUCGGCAAUGGGGGCAACCCUGACCGAGCAACGCCGCGUGGAGGAUGACGGUUUUCGGAUUGUAAACUCCUUUUCUGUGGGAAGAGCAAGGACGGUACCACAGGAAUAAGUCACGGCUAACUACGUGCCAGCAGCCGCGGUAAUACGUAGGUGGCAAGCGUUAUCCGGAAUUACUGGGCGUAAAGCGCACGCAGGUGGUUUGCUAAGUUCGACGUGAAAGCGCCUGGCUUAACUGGGCGAGGUCGUUGGAGACUGGCAGACUUGAGGUGAGGAGAGGGGUGUAGAAUUCCCGGUGUAGUGGUGGAAUGCGUAGAUAUCGGGAGGAAUACCAGUGGCGAAAGCGGCACCCUGGCCUUGGCCUGACACUCAUGUGCGAAAGCGUGGGGAGCAAACGGGAUUAGAUACCCCGGUAGUCCACGCCGUAAACGAUGAAUACUAGGUGUAGGUUGUCUCAAAAUGAUCUGUACCGAAGCUAACGCGAUAAGUAUUCCGCCUGGGGAGUACGGCCGCAAGGCUAAAACUCAAAGGAAUUGACGGGGGCCCGCACAAGCAGCGGAGCGUGUGGUUUAAUUCGAUGCAACGCGAAAAACCUUACCUGGGCUUGACGUGUCUGUAGUAGUGAAGC
rnacentral:rRNA from 1 species